ACCAGACUCCUACGGGAGGCAGCAGUGAGGAAUAUUGGUCAAUGGACGCAAGUCUGAACCAGCCAUGCCGCGUGCAGGAUGACGGCUCUAUGAGUUGUAAACUGCUUUUGUACGAGGGUAAACCCCGAUACGUGUAUCGGGUUGAAAGUAUCGUACGAAUAAGGAUCGGCUAACUCCGUGCCAGCAGCCGCGGUAAUACGGAGGAUCCGAGCGUUAUCCGGAUUUAUUGGGUUUAAAGGGUGCGUAGGCGGUUUGAUAAGUUAGAGGUGAAAUGUCGGGGCUCAACCCCGAAACUGCCUCUAAUACUGUUGGACUAGAGAAUAGUUGCGGGAGGCGGAAUGUAUGGUGUAGCGGUGAAAUGCUUAGAUAUCGCGCAGAACCCCGAUUGCGAAGGCAGCGUGCCGGGCCGCCACUGACGCUGAGGCACGAAAGCGCGGGGAUCGAACAGGAUUAGAUACCCUUGUA
rnacentral:rRNA from 1 species